UAAUAUUUGUGGCCAUAAGUGAAUAAAAGCAUAGGAAAAUCGUGGUCUAUAUACAACACAAAUUUUUAUUUUUUUUUGUUAAAAAAUAAAAAUUUUUUUAGUUAUUUAACGGAUUUAAGGUAUAGUGGUUUUGAAUUAUUAGUCGUACUGAAAGUAUAGCUGACUUAGGUGUUACCUCUGAUUGUCAACGAAGUUUUGUGUUGCAUAUUCUGUCCAUCGUAUCAUCUGCUAGUAGAGCUUUGGACUUCAUAAAACGCGACUAUAAGCGAAUUGAUAGUGUUGCAUCCCUAAAGAUCAGUUUCAAUACAUUGAAAAUCUGCAACCAGAAGAUCCUUAUAAAAAUUUAGAAAUGUGGCAAAACCACCGUACUGACCACAUGUAACUUUUUCGGAGAAACUUAAGAAGAGAGUAGUCAAGAUGUUAAAUACCAAACCCUUCGCAAAAAACCAAAUUUCUGCCCUGAAUACUUGGACAGUACCUACCUGUACUAUUUAUGUUGGUUAUUGUUAUUGUUCGUAUUUGU